GUUGGGUUAAGUCCCGUAACGAGCGCAACCCUUGUCCUAGUUACCAGCACGUUAUGGUGGGCACUCUAAGGAGACUGCCGGUGACAAACCGGAGGAAGGUGGGGAUGACGUCAAGUCAUCAUGGCCCUUACGGCCUGGGCUACACACGUGCUACAAUGGUCGGUACAAAGGGUUGCCAAGCCGCGAGGUGGAGCUAAUCCCAUAAAACCGAUCGUAGUCCGGAUCGCAGUCUGCAACUCGACUGCGUGAAGUCGGAAUCGCUAGUAAUCGUGAAUCAGAAUGUCACGGUGAAUACGUUCCCGGGCCUU
rnacentral:rRNA from 1 species